rnacentral:lncRNA from 1 species
UAAAUACACACCUCCAAGGAAAGUAACUUUGACAACCUCAAAGCAUUAAAUUCUACUGCUAAUUUGAUAUGCAAUUUAGGAUGCUUUGCGCCCCCAAAUUUGUAACAGAAUGAAACUCAGGGAUGGUUGGUCUGUUAGGACAAAUGGGACAUCGUCUAAUUCUAUAUUUAUGUCCUUCCUCUUGUCUGUCCUUAAUCUCCUAUCAUUCAGCUUCUCUAGAUGAUCCCAGCUUCUAGUGUAAUGGGAGGAACAACUAUCCUCUUACAUAAGUGUCUAAACCUGGCCCUUGCAUGUGAUAUACUUGCUUAUUGCUGAAAGCUUGUUACUGUCAUCUUAUUGUAUUUUCUGUUUGAAUGUUCCCUUACAGGUAUGUCAUGGCCUAAUGUUCCUCUUCAGUUCUCAUUCCCUGUGUCCACUAGGAAUCCCUUUGUUGUUCUGAGGAGAUGCUUACAUAUAGCACAGCAUGUUGAGCCACAUGAAGGAUUUACUGCUGAUUGCUCAUUCGUUUCCUGAUGGGGUUCCUGCAUCAUUACAAACUGCUCAGGCCUUUCACUCUCCGUUUAUGAUACUAUCAAAAACUCUUGACUGAUUUAAAGCCUUCUAAUCCAUCUCUCCCCAAUUACCCCAUUACACAAUAGGUACUGAUAGUAAAAAGGGACCUUUCUUCUACCAUAAGCAGUGUCAGCCUAAUUUCUGCAAGUGUUAUUUAACUGUGAUUGUACUUUUCACUUUUUAAUGCAGAACAAAUUGCUUGUGAUCUAUGGUGACAUACGGCAGGUAAUGCAGUACAUUUACAGCAGAGCCUUGAAAGAAGGAAGAGGUAGAUUGAAUACUUAGAGCAAUAAAGCUUUUUGCUUUGAUCUCCACGAGACAAGCUAAUAUCACUUCCCACGUCUUCCUUGAGGAAUCUACAAAUACGAUGUGCUCAAAGCAGUGGCGGUAUAGAAAGCAAAUGAAGAGUGUUCUGUGAGAACACCAAGCAAAUCAAGUGUGGUGAGGAGGGAAUUAGAGAAGAAGUGUGGUCAGAAGCAGCUCUCCUGGUGGCAUGGAGGUGCAACUAUAGCCUCCUGGCAGAAUAGCACUGCCCCUCACACGUGGAAGGACAAGGUGGCAGUCAGGUUUGGUCUGAAUGGAUGCAUUAGCAGGGAUUUCCGUUGGCGCACCCACACAGUGACAAGCAUUGUCACUGCCUCACCCCAGGAAGGGUAGACAGGAAGGUACUGUUGUGGCUCUACCCCAACAGGUGAGAUGCUCCUGAGAUGCUCCUGAGUGGAGUACUAUUAAGAUGAGAGCACACAGACACCAGAGGCAGAUGAAGACUGCACCAUGGAUCAGUGGUUCUCAAACUUUUUUCUCUGGGCCACACUUUCAGAAUGAAAAAUGGCUCAUGCCACACCAAAUUUUGUUAUUGAUAUGAAAUACAUUGGAAAACUAUAAAAAAAAACUUCUCCUAGCGCUUGAUUUAUAAAACAGAACACUACCUUUACCUUAUAUACUUAAGGUACAUAUGUAAGAGGCUCAUUUAUUAUUAUAUUUUGGGAAUGAGUCAUGUUCUUAUGUAGUUGCAUUGCUUUAUACUUUUUGGAUAUCCCAUGAACAUAUUAUAAAAUAGUUGUGUUCUGUGUUAUAAAUCAAGCACUGCUACAAGUUCUUUUUUUCAAAAAAAAAGUUUUCCAAUAUAUUUCACAUUAAUAACAAAAUUGACAGUGAACAACCUGGACGGUUAAGUUACCUUUUAGGUUACCUUUUACCUUAAGUACAUUUACAAACUCAAUGAGAAGUGUGAGCUUGUAGUAUCACAUGAUGCUCUUGCUUUCAUUUUGAAAAGAUAUCUAUCCAUAUUCUGCAGAUAAAAGAGAAUGUUUUGAUACUAUAUUAUAGUAUCUAUACUAUACUACACUGAAAUGUUUAAAUGUUUCUCUGAUUGUCCUUGACUCUUCACGUCACACUUGCCAUCCUCUCCUGUCACACCACUGUGGUGCGCCGCACCUCUUCAGUUCUCAACCCAACCCAGAUCUUGUGAUGGAGAAAGACAGGACCUCUGCCAGCAAAUGCAACAUAAGAAUGAAAUAGACUGAGAAAGAUGAUGCUAUGGUAGCUCAUAUGCUUAAUAGUUUGCCUUAGUGCCCAUGUAUAUGAUGUUUAUAUUAUUAUUGUGUAGCUAAUAAAAUCUGUAACUUUACCCCAAAGCAUGCUUGUUGCCUCAGAUUCCAAAAGAACAAUAGCAUAACAGGCAUUAUUGCCAUCUCAAUGUGGCGAUCUUUAGGGUAGAUGUUGAUCCCGACAACAAAGCACCAGUGAAGUGAACUGUUAGCAUUUGCCAACAUAACAGCCAUAGUGAGACAACAUGAUGGCACAGGGACAAAAUGAAAGCACCAUGGCAACAUAAAUGUGUAGACAUCAUUAGCGUCUGUUUAUACAGGGAGCAGAGAUUCUAUCUACUGUCUGAAGUGUUACAAUCCCUGAAGAAGUCCCAAUUUACUUGUUGGAUGUGCAGACCAACCAUUAGUGCAGUAUGAUCUGAAUCAAAUUCAGUGAAUGGAAACAGGAAAUGUAGGGGCAUUUAUUCUGAGUAUACUGCAGUUCUUCUUGUUGUUGUUUAGUCAUUUAGUCAUGUCCGACUCUUCGUGAUCGCAUGGACCAGAGCACGCCAGGCACUUCUGUCUUCCACUGCCUCCCGCAGUUUGGUCAAACUCAUGCUGGUAGCUUCGAGAACAUUGUCCAACCGUCUCGUCCUCUGUCAUCCCCUUCUCCUUGUGCCCUCCAUCUUUCCCAACAUCAGGGCCUUUUCCAGGGAGUCUUCUCUUCUCAUGAGGUGGCCAAAGUAUUGGAGCCUCAGCUUCACAAUCUGUCCUUCCAGUGAGCACUCAGGGCUGAUUUCCUUAAGAAUGGAGAGGUUUGAUCUUCUUGCAGUCCAUGGGACUCUCAAGAAUCUCCUCCAGCACCAUAAUUCAAAAGCAUCAAUUCUUCGGCGAUCAGCCUUCUUGAUGGUCCAGCUCUCACUUCCAUACAUCACUACUGGGAAAACCAUGGCUUUAACUAUACGGACCUUUGUUGACAAGGUGAUGUCUCUGCUUUUUAAGACGCUGUCUAGGUUUGCCAUCGCCUUUCUUCCAAGGAGCAGGCGUCUUUUAAUUUCGUGACUGCUGUCACCAUCUGCAGUGAUCAUGGAGCCCCAAAAAGUAAAAUCUCUCACUGCCUCCAUUUCUUCCCCUUCUAUUUGCCAGGAGGUGAUGGGACCAGUGGCCAUGAUCUUCGUUUUUUUGAUGUUGAGCUUCAGACCAUAUUUUGCGCUCUCCUCUUUCACCCUCAUUAAAAGGUUCUUUAAUUCCUCCUCACUUUCUGCCAUCAAGGUUGUGUCAUCUGCAUAUCUGAGGUUGUUGAUAUUUCUUCCGGCGAUCUUAAUUCCGGCUUGGGAUUCAUCCAGCCCAGCCUUUCGCAUGAUGAUUUCUGCAUAUAAGUUAAAUAAGCAGGGAGACAAUAUACAGCCUUGUCGUACUCCUUUCCCAAUUUUGAACCAAUCAGUUGUUCCAUAUUCAGUUCUAACUGUAGCUUCUUGUCCCACAUAGAGAUUUCUCAGGAGACAGAUGAGGUGAUCAGGCACUCCCAUUUCUUUAAGAAUUUGCCAUAGUUUGCUGUGGUCGACACAAGCAAAGGCUUUUGCAUAGUCAAUCAAGCAGAAGUAGAUGUCUUUCUGGAACUCUCUAGCUUUCUCCAUAAUCCAGCACAUGUUUGCAAUUUGGUCUCUGGUUCCUCUGCCUCUUCUAAAUCCAGCUUGCACUGCAGUUCUACAUCAGUGUUAUUUCAAUUGAUUACUGGAUCAACACGAGUCCAGUUAAUUACUAGCUCAAUAAGACUAUUGUCAUUGCUUAUAGUAAAUGCUUUAUUUGCCUCCUCUGAAUUAAAUGAACAUUUCAUAUAUUGUGUUACUAUUGCCCUUCAUAUGUGGUAGAGUACAAUUUUAAUCAACACAUACAUAUAACCUAAAUUUAUAUUAAGCAUGCAGAAGAACCUAGGAGCUUGAAAUUUGCAAUUCUAGGACAGUAUCCCAUUCUAAUUCUCCACGGGAAACCACUUUUGAAAGAGAGGAAAGCUUCAAAAGCAAUUUGUGCAAGAGCAUAGUGGUUUGCUGUGCAGAAGACAAUAUGUAAAAUGCUGUAUGUGGCUUAUAAAACCCUCGGAGGAGAACCCAGAAAAUGGCCUGCAAAGGAAGGACUAUUGCUCAGUGGUAGAGGACAUACUUUGUAUGAAAUAGGUCCUAGGUUCAGUCAUGGCAUCUCUAGUAAGAAGGAGCAGAUAACAGAUGAUGUGAGCGACUUCUGCCAGAGACUCUGGAGCAACAGAGUAGAUAAUACUCAUCUAGACUGGCAUAAGACAGAUUUCUAUGUGCCUUGUUUUUUUAUAAGGAGCAUAUAUUGUCUAGCUCUUUGGACACCAGCCAUUGAAUAGAACUAUCUGUUGGAACAUGUCAAAGAGCCCAUCUGAAGGCUUGUUGAGUUGGGAAGUGAAAGAAGCCUUCCUUUCCCAGUCUCAUCACAUCUGCAAUAUGUAAUCCACCAGGACUACACAGGACUAAUCCACACAGACUUAUUCUGUAUUCAGCUAAUGUAGAAGAGAUGUCAGUGGAGGAGCCAAAGACUCUUUGAUAAAUAUUUUCCUGUUGUGGACAGGAUGUUGCCUAGUUUUCAGCCUGGGAAUGCUUUGGCAUGCAGCACAUUUGAAGUUUUGUAGCAGCAAUGGCUGUGUUCAGUUUCUUAUCAGUUACAUCUGACAUGUCUGCUAUUGCUCCACCCAACCAAUUCUAUGGCAGCUACAUUAGCUACCAGUGAGCUUCCACAGAUGCAAUUCAAAGUUAGACAUAAAUGCCCUAAUAGAAGGGCUUCACCUCCAGACGACAGAGCCCAGUAUUGUUUGUCAAUCUGGGCUUUGUCAUCUGGUGGUGAAACCCUUCUUGUGGUCAAACCAAUGAUUAUGAUCUGUUGUGCAGUGAUUCAGGUUAGGGCCUUCCAUGUAGUAAAACCGUCUUAGAGGAACUCCUUCCCUUUAGCAGUACAAUUGUUUCUUGCACUGUUUAUUUUUGUGCCAGCUUAAAACAUUCAUUUUUAACAAAUGUAUUACAGAACAUCUGGAGUUCUGAUUAUUCGUAUUUAUGGAGGUCACUUGACCUUGACAAAACCCACUGUAUACAUUUGUCUCCUUAAGUUAGUUUGUUUCUGAAUUAUUCUCAAAAGAGUUAUGAAACAGUUACUACAAUUAUUCAUACAACUUCAUUAAUUGCUUCUAGUUUAAAUGGAUUGUCCCUGAUUCAGAAUUUAUAGCAUAUCAAUACAAUGCAAUCCUUGUGUAAGCUUACUUGAGCAUAAACCUUGUUAAACACAAUGGAAUUUAAUUCUAAGUAAACAACAUAGCAUGGUGUGUUGUGCCAUCUAAGUUUAAGAAAACCAAAGCACUAAAUCAUAUGGUCCAAAUAUUAGUCACUAUAAAGUGUCAUUUUCACAUAACUGUAUGUAAUUUAAAAUGAGUUUAACAUCCAAACCAUUCAUUCAUUUCCCCCCAUCCAUUCCAGAAUUUCACAGGAAAGAGAACGACAAGGGAGCUGACAUUAAUAGUUCUGUAAAAUCUCAUUUAGUUCUUGAAAACUUCUAUUUUUAACAGUUCAGUCCAGAAAAGGAAACCAGAAUGGAGAAGGAGGCACUCAUACAUGGAAUGAAUGCACUAGCUGGGUAUGCCAGUAUCCAGCAAUCUGAACUGCAUAUACAUACAUGCCCUGAUGCUAAAUUUUCAACUGCCUCUGUAGCAGCAGGUCAGAUGUGAAUGUACAUGAAAUGAAUCCAUAAGGUUCUAUUAAAAAUGAAGAAAAAUGCAUUUUUAUAUGCAAGAAUUAAGCAAUGGCUUCAGACUUCCCCUUUCAUGUCGUACAGAGCUUUCUCAAUGAAGAACAGCACGGCGAAUGUAUAGUCUGCCAUUUUAACAUUCAGCAGCAAUCAUUAGUGAAUGACUGGCAGAGGCAUACUACAGUUGUGCUGCAAAGAGUGGAGAUUUGGGAAGGCUUAGUAAUAGCAUAUGUAUAUUCAUUAGAGGGAGAAAAAACUAAUUUAGUUUACCAGGAGGAGGGUAAUCACCUUGGUAUGCAGAUUUUUGCAAAAUCUUUUCGUUACAGAUUAAGCUCAUCUAUAUUUAGCAAGGUUGAUAGACUCAUCAAGCUUACGCUUAGGGGAAACAUAUUUAAGGGAGGGAGGGAGAGAGAAUGUUGCUUUCCUGAUCAAUGGAGUACACAAAUCCAAAAGGAUGCUUUAUUCAACAUCCACUACGCAGGCCUAUCCUUGUUGGACUAAGUCCCUGGUACACAAACUUGCCUGAUAGAUGUGCUUGGAUAUAUUUGGAAUUUGACUGGAGAGGAGAGCACAUGAUGUAGCCACUCCCUAAAAGUGUUCAUUACCCUCAUAGUGGAAUGACUAUCAUUUAGGAUUGUGCAUAGCAUUGUGGAAGAAUUGUACCUGCAGCCUCUUUGCAGACUAAAUUAUAAUAAUAAGUAGUUUGAGGUUGUGUGUGUGUAUAUGUGUGUGAUGAACAAAACGAAAGCCAGAAAAAAAAGUUGAAUAAGAAUCCUUACUUAUCGAUGAC